AUCCUGGUCGGACAUCAGGAGGUUAGUGCAAUGGCAUAAGCCAGCUUGACUGCGAGCGUGACGGCGCGAGCAGGUGCGAAAGCAGGUCAUAGUGAUCCGGUGGUUCUGAAUGGAAGGGCCAUCGCUCAACGGAUAAAAGGUACUCCGGGGAUAACAGGCUGAUACCGCCCAAGAGUUCAUAUCGACGGCGGUGUUUGGCACCUCGAUGUCGGCUCAUCACAUCCUGGGGCUGAAGUAGGUCCCAAGGGUAUGGCUGUUCGCCAUUUAAAGUGGUACGCGAGCUGGGUUUAGAACGUCGUGAGACAGUUCGGUCCCUAUCUGCCGUGGGCGCUGGAGAACUGAGGGGGGCUGCUCCUAGUACGAGAGGACCGGAGUGGACGCAUCACUGGUGUUCGGGUUGUCAUGCCAAUGGCACUGCCCGGUAGCUAAAUGCGGAAGAGAUAAGUGCUGAAAGCAUCUAAGCACGAAACUUGCCCCGAGAUGAGUUCUCCCUGACUCCUUGAGAGUCCUGAAGGAACGUUGAAGACGACGACGUUGAUAGGCCGGGUGUGUAAGCGCAGCGAUGCGUUGAGCUAACCGGUACUAAUGAACCGUGAGGCUUAACCUUACAACGCCGAAGGUGUUU
rnacentral:rRNA from 1 species